UACGGAGGGUGCGAGCGUUGUCCGGAAUUACUGGGCGUAAAGCGCGCGUAGGCGGCUUUGUAAGUUAGAGGUGAAAGCCCGGAGCUCAACUCCGGAAUUGCCUUUAAGACUGCAUCGCUUGAAUCAUGGAGAGGUGAGUGGAAUUCCGAGUGUAGAGGUGAAAUUCGUAGAUAUUCGCAAGAACACCAGUGGCGAAGGCGGCCGACUGGUCCGGUUCUGACGCUGAGGCGCCGAAAGCGUGGGGAGCAAACAGG
rnacentral:rRNA from 1 species